rnacentral:rRNA from 1 species
UUGAAAGGGAAACGAUUGAAGUCAGUCAUGCCGGUGGGAAUCAACUUAGGGGAAACUCUAGGUGCACUUCUUCGCUUGGCAGGUCAACGUCGAUUUUGAAUGUCAUAAAAUAAUUGGGGGAAGGUAGCUCCUUCGGGAGUGUUAUAGCCCUUGAUAGAUGUGAUGUUUGGGGUCGAGGAUUGCAACGGAUACCCUCUGGGGCUAGCCGCCUGAUCUCUAANUGGUGUUGGGUUACGGAUAGCAUGCUGACCGUGAUCUAAUUACUGGUUAAAAAGGUUAAGGUGUACAUAAAUUCGUUAAGGAUGUUGACGUA